CUCUUCUCCCUCCUACAGUUCUUCACUGAAGGAUUGGUAGAGGCCUCACAGUUUUCUCAUGGAUGCACUGUGUCCUGUGUCAGAUGACGUUCGUGUCCUGCUGGCGUCUUGAGAAGUGGAGGGCAAUGCAUUUCAGGUUUAUUUAUUUAUUUGAAAGUCAGAGUUGCAGAGAGAGAUCGAUUGCUGGUUCACUUCCUAGAUGGCCACGACAGCUGGGGCUGGCCCAAGCUGAAGCCAGGAACCAAGAGCUUCUUCCAAUCCUCCCAUGUGGGUGACAGGAUUCAAGCACUUGGACCAUCCUCUACUGCUUUUCCCAUACCAUUAGCAGGGAUCUGCACUGGCCGUGGAGCGGCCAGAACAUGAAGCAGUGCCCGUAUGGAAUGCUGGCAUCACAACUGAUGACUUUAUGUGCUACGCCACCGCCCUGGACUUCCUCUCUUCAUUUCAAGUUCAAAUGUCUUUGCUCCCGUGGUGGUACAUUUCUCUGCGCAUGUCAAACUCUGGGAGGCUGAAUGCUGCAGGCACGAAAGCCUUAGAAGACGGCAGAACCACGUGGAAGGAGAACCACGUGGAAGAACCACGUGGAAGGAGCGGGGUCUCUGGAUGAUGCUGUGGCUCUUCGCAGGCCUCCCUGGGAGGUCAGAGAGCCUCUGACACGAGUCUGCAUGCGAGAGGGCUUCGGAGGCUCCACGAAGCAAUGGAACUAAAAGAUAAGUGCACCUUGGUAUAACAAAAAACAACAACGAAAUCCACACAUUCUUUUUUUUCCAUAAUACACAUCUUACUUGAACCCUUUGAAGACCUCUUGGAGGACUUCUACACAGGCCAACAAGAACUGUCACGUGGCUCUGCCAGGGCUGCUGUGCAGGUCGGCUGGGGCUCUCACGUCAUUGGCCCUGCUGAGCCGUCACAGGCCAGGCAGGGCAGCAGGGUGGUGCUGUUAAACCUCAGCUCUUGCUCUUGCUACCUCCCUACCUGCAUCACCACUUGCUAUGCCUUCUCCCUGGAAUGGCCUCCUCUCCCACUUUCCUUCUCAAGACCCUGCUAUCCUUCAUAUCCUCGUGAAACCUUUCUUGUUCUUUUCUUCUCUUGACCUGCAGUCAAAGGCACCUGGCACCAGUGACUGCCACAACAGCUCCUUCUGUGUGUUAGGUUCCAUGGUCCUUACGGGCAGGAACUAGGUGCCCCUUUCAUUUUACGACCUCCAGGAUGACCUGCACAGGAAUCUGCACGUAGUAGGCAAUCUACGCAGAUUUGCUGAAAUGUAGUGGAGAGGAUUAAGGGAGGUGAUUUUGAUUUUCCCUAGAGUGCGACUUGGAUUUGGGGCAAAAGUGAAGCUGGCGGGGUGCAUUUGGGGAAGAUCAGGUGGGAAAACAAAAUGAACGAUGGAAAGAAAGGUGAGAGAGUGCAGCCAGCAACUGUUUCAUUCUGGGUUUCUGUAGAGCGUCCUUGGGAGCCAGAGAGCAAUCUCUCUGACCUCCAGUCAAGUGUCGGAACACAUCUUCCUGUGGCUUCUGACCUCCAACCAAGUGUUGGAACACGGCUCCCUGUGGCUUCUGACCUCCAACCAAGUGUCGGAACACGCUUCCUGUGGCUCCAAAGCCUGUUCACAGGCUCCCUUCUGGUCUGCAGUUAACCGAGGGGGCCAGGCAAUCCCAGAGCAUCCCGGCUCUGACCUUUGGGCUGCUGAAUUCACUGCGGCCCACACCGUGAGUGCCUGGGAGGUCUGAUCCACGAAGGUCCAUGGCAUAGCCUUCUAUCUUGGGGUGAGGGGAGAGGAAGGCAGGAAAGUGGUCAUCAGCCGAAGAGAGCUGCUGCCUGAGUGAAUGCUCACUGAGAGGUUGGCCCCACCUCCCCUCUACACACGUCUCUUCCAACUGUGCCCUGACUCUGUAUUCUCCAACCCAAACAAAGCACCUGGAGAAAAAGUGAUUUUGUGGCUCGCUCUGUUUUCAGUGCCCAUGGAACAUUUGCCCCCAUGGUGCUCCAUCACCAGAUUUAAAAAAAAAAAAAAUCCUUCAAAAUGGCCACUUGCCUUUUUUAUUGGCAUGUUUGCAUCCAUGUUGCUACUGACUUGCACUCAAGGCCAAGUUUUUUUUUCAUGAUUUUUUGCCAUCUGUGCCAUAUUUCUUUAGAGUUUUUCUUCUCCAAUCCCUUCUUUGAUGCCAGGAGAAGUACUAGCAAUGGGCUGGAGAGAUUCCAAAGCCCGAUGCACAGAGACUGGCUAACAACCUCAACUUUGCUUCAUAUACAUUUUGGAAACUUCUGCCUUUUCUUUUUGCAAGGAGACAUGUAAAGUUCCCAAUCGAGCCCUAUCCAGAGGCUGAUGAGCAACCUGCUCGUAGAACAUGGAAAGGUAGGCCCAGGGCCCCUGCUGCUGCCUGCUGUCAGGGGAGACAGGAGACCCUGUGAUUUGAGUCCGGUCUAUGAAGCACAGUUCUAAGUAAGAGAAGAAAAAUCUCACCCUUCCAGCAGGCCUUGAAUCUGUCAUAAGAAAGGAGCUAUGCAAUCCAUCAGCAUUUUAAGGAAGGUUUAGAAGACCUCGGUACCCCCAAAUACUAUACUCAGUGGGACAAGACCAGCCAUGAAUGCAGGUAAUGACCAGAUUAAUUAAAAAAAUUAAUUAAUUUUAAAAAGCCAAACUGCAAAACUCAACAUCUCACUGUCUACAGACCUUGGAAUAUUUUGGUCUGGCCUGGGGAAUAGGUGCUCUUACGUAGUAUGUCUGCAGAGGAAUAUUUAGUGACCACUGUACCUUUUAAAGUAUUUAAAAACAUAUACAUUAAAGCAAUUAUAUCUUCUGUAAAUGAAUUAAAAAAUCACCUCUUGUUGGAAAAAAAUAAA